rnacentral:rRNA from 1 species
GAUGAACGCUGGCGGCGUGCCUAAUACAUGCCAGUCGAGCGAACGGACGAGAAGCUUGCUUCUCUGAUGUUAGCGGCAGACGGGUGAGUAACACGUGGAUAACCUACCUAUAAGACUGGGAUAACUUCGGGAAACCGGAGCUAAUACCGGAUAAUAUUUUGAACCGCAUGGUUCAAAAGUGAAAGACGGUCUUGCUGUCACUUAUAGAUGGAUCCGCGCUGCAUUAGCUAGUUGGUAAGGUAACGGCUUACCAAGGCAACGAUGCAUAGCCGACCUGAGAGGGUGAUCGGCCACACUGGAACUGAGACACGGUCCAGACUCCUACGGGAGGCAGCAGUAGGGAAUCUUCCGCAAUGGGCGAAAGCCUGACGGAGCAACGCCGCGUGAGUGAUGAAGGUCUUCGGAUCGUAAAACUCUGUUAUUAGGGAAGAACAUAUGUGUAAGUAACUGUGCACAUCUUGACGGUACCUAAUCAGAAAGCCACGGCUAACUACGUG